rnacentral:rRNA from 1 species
UACGUAGGGGGCAAGCGUUAUCCGGAAUCACUGGGCGUAAAGGGUGCGUAGGCGGCCUGACAAGUCAGAGGUGAAAGGCUACGGCUUAACCGUAGUAAGCCUUUGAUACUGCAUUGCUUGAGUUCGGGAGAGGGUAGUGGAAUUCCAGGUGUAGGAGUGAAAUCCGUAGAUAUAUGGAGGAACACCGGUGGCGAAGGCGGCUACCCGGCCUGUAACUGACGCUGAGGCACGAGAGCGUGGGGAGCAAAUA